AACGGCCAUACCAUGCUGAAUAUACCGGUUCUCGUUAGAUCACCGAAGUCAAGCAUCAUUGGGUGCGGUCAGUACUAGCUGGUACCACCUGGGAACACCGCGUGCCGUU